AUUGAACGCUGGCGGCAUGCCUUACACAUGCAAGUCGAACGGCAGCACGGGAGCUUGCUCCUGGUGGCGAGUGGCGAACGGGUGAGUAAUACAUCGGAACGUACCCAGUAGUGGGGGAUAACGCACCGAAAGGUGCGCUAAUACCGCAUACGACCUAAGGGUGAAAGCGGGGGACCGUAAGGCCUCGCGCUAUUGGAGCGGCCGAUGUCUGAUUAGCUAGUUGGCGGGGUAAUAGCCCACCAAGGCGACGAGCAGUAGCUGGUCUGAGAGGACGAUCAGCCACACUGGGACUGAGACACGGCCCAGACUCCUACGGGAGGCAGCAGUGGGGAAUUUUGGACAAUGGGGGCAACCCUGAUCCAGCAAUGCCGCGUGUGCGAAGAAGGCCUUCGGGUUGUAAAGCACUUUUGUCAGGGAAGAAAUCUUUCAGGCUAAUACCCUUGGAAGGAUGACGGUACCUGAAGAAUAAGCACCGGCUAACUACGUGCCAGCAGCCGCCGUAA
rnacentral:rRNA from 1 species